GACUCCAAUAUCCUAAGGAUAUUGGGAUUAUACAUAUAUCAUAGGAUAUUGGAGUCUU
rnacentral:pre_miRNA from 1 species